AGUUGUCAUAUGCUUGUCUAAAAAGAUUAAGCCAUGCAAGUGUAAGUAUAAAUAGACAAAUUUAUUGUACUAUGAGACUGCGAAUGGCUCAUUAAAUCAGCAAUCAUUUAUUCGGUGGAUGAAGUAAUUCUAAAAUGGAUAACCGUGGAAAUCUAGAGCUAAUACAUGCAAAAGAGAAUUCUUUGAAAAAGGAAUGCAUAUAUUAGAUACAAAUCCAAAAAUACAAAGGUGAAUCAUAAUAUUUAUAGCAAAUCAUAUAAGAAGGAGUGAUCUUUUCUUUGAUGAUAAACCGAUCAAAUUUCUGCCCUAUCAUACUUUGGACGGUAAUGUAGUGGAUUACGGUGGUGAUGACGGGGUAACGGAGAAUUAGGGUUUGAUUCCGGAGAGGGAGCAUGAGAAAUGGCUACCACUUCCAAGGAAGGCAGCAGGC
rnacentral:rRNA from 1 species